rnacentral:rRNA from 1 species
UACGUAGGGACCGAGCGUUGUCCGGAUUCAUUGGGCGUAAAGAGCUCGUAGGCGGCUGCUCAAGUCGAAUGUGAAAACUCGAGGCUCAACCUCGAGCCUGCAUUCGAUACUGGGCGGCUAGAGUCUGGUAGGGGGAUCUGGAAUUCCUGGUGUAGCGGUGGAAUGCGCAGAUAUCAGGAAGAACACCCGUGGCGAAGGCGGCUCUCUGGGACGGUACUGACGCUGAGACGCGAAAGCGUGGGGAGCGAACAGG